rnacentral:rRNA from 1 species
AGCCUGAACGCUGGCGGCGUGGCUAAGACAUGCAAGUCGCACGGUGUAGCAAUACACAGUGGCGAACGGGUGAGUAAUGAAUCGCUAAAUGUACCCCGGACUCUGGGAUAGCUACCCGAAAGGGUAGGUAAUACCAGAUGAUAUGCAGCUGUCGCAUGACAGUUGCCUCAAAGGUCCGCCGGUCUGGGAGCAGGCGAUUUCGUAUCAGCUUGUUGGUGAGGUAACGGCUCACCAAGGCGACGACGCGUAGCCGGACUGAGAGGUUGGCCGCACAUUGGGACUGAGACACUGCCCAGACUCCUACGGGGGCUGCAGUACGAAUCUUCCGCAAUGCAGAAAGUGUGACGGACGCGACGCCGCGUGUAGGAGAACGCCCGUUUCGGGGG